rnacentral:rRNA from 1 species
AUUGAACGCUGGCGGCAGGCCUAAUACAUGCAAGUCGAACGAGUGGCGGACGGGUGAGUAAUGCCUGGGAAACUUCCCGAUGGAGGGGGAUAACUAUUGGAAACGGUAGCCAAUACCGCAUUCUACCGGAUGUGACCAGAUGGGAUUAGCUAGUAUGUGGGGUAACGGCUCACCUAGGCAACGAACCCUAGCUGGUCUGAGAGGAUAACCAGCCAAAUUGGGACUGAGACACGGUCCAGACUCCUACGGGAGGCAGCAGUGGGGAAUAUUGCGCAAUGGGCGCAAGCCUGACGGAGCCACGCCGCGGGUAUGAAGAAGGCUUUCGGGUUGUAAAGUACUGUCAGCAAGGAGGCGUUACUUGCAGAAAAAGCACCGGCUAACUCCGUGCCAGCAGCCGCGGUAAUUC